rnacentral:misc_RNA from 1 species
GUGAAUCAUCGAAUUUUUGAACGCAAAUUGCGCUUCCUGGCAUCCCGGGAAGUAUGCCUGUUUGAGGGUCAGUUAAAUAAAAAUCGGUGGUGUUGCUGCUUUUCGUGGUGACGCGUCGGGCUUGAGUUGUCUUACCUUCGGAUAAGUGACUUAAAAUUUUGCAUGAUUUUCGAACGUACUUAAAUUUCUUACGUACGUCUGAGAUAUC